GGUGGCUCAGUGGUAGAUUGCUUGCCUUGCAUGCAUGAAGCCCUGGGUUCGAUUCCCCAGCACCA
rnacentral:tRNA from 1 species